rnacentral:rRNA from 1 species
AGAGUUUGAUCAUGGCUCAGGAUUAACGCUGGCGGUAUGCCUAACACAUGCAAGUCGAACGGAAUACUAAUUAAGAGAAUCUCACACUAGUGAGAGGUUCUCACGAGUAGUAUUUAGUGGCGGACGGGUGAGUAACACGUUGGAACCUGCCCCGAAGUGGGGAAUAACUGCUCGAAAGAGUAGCUAAUACCCCAUAGUAUCCGGUUUAUCCGGAUUAAGGAUUUAUCGCUUCGGGAGGGGCCUGCGUCUGAUUAGCUAGUUGGUGAGGUAAAAGCUCACCAAGGCGACGAUCAGUAGCUGGUUCGAGAGGAUGACCAGCCACACUGGGACUGAGAUACGGCCCAGACUCCUACGGGAGGCAGCAGUGAGGAAUCUUCCACAAUGGGCGCAAGCCUGAUGGAGCAAUACCGCGUGCAGGAAGACGCUUUUCGGAGUGUAAACUGCUUUUGUCGUCGAAGAUUAUGACUGUAGACGAAGAAUAAGGACCGGCUAACUACGUG